rnacentral:tRNA from 1 species
GUCUUUGUAGUAUAAUUGAAUAYCCCGGCCUUGUAAACCGGAAAAGGAGACAAACCACAUCUCCCUAAGACU